rnacentral:rRNA from 1 species
AGUCCACUGAACCUUAUCAUUUAGAGGAAGGAGAAGUCGUAACAAGGUUUCCGUAGGUGAACCUGCGGAAGGAUCAUUGUCGAAGCCUGCCCAGCAGAACGACCCGCGAACUUGUGAUUACUCUCGAUGGGUUGCGGCGCGGGUCUCGCUGGAGCUCCCCCGAGUUUUGAGCGCCCCGCGCUGCMCCCCACCCGCCGCGUUGGGCGAGCCCUGUCUCGUUCAACGCGGCGGAACAACGAACCCCGGCGCGAGUUGCGCCAAGGAAAAUCCAACGAGAGAGCGCGCUGCCGCCGCCCCGGACACGGUGCGCUUGCGGUAUGCGUUGCCUUCUUUCAACGAAAAUCCUAAACGACUCUCGGCAACGGAUAUCUCGGCUCUCGCAUCGAUGAAGAACGUAGCGAAAUGCGAUACUUGGUGUGAAUUGCAGAAUCCCGUGAACCAUCGAGUCUUUGAACGCAAGUUGCGCCCCAGGCCAUUAGGCCGAGGGCACGUCUGCCUGGGUGUCACGCAUCGUUGCCCCCAAAAAUCCCCUUCCGGGGGGAUCGUUGGUCGGGCGGAAACUGGCCUCCCGUGCGCUCUCCGCUCGCGGUUGGCCCAAAUUUGAGCCCUCGGCGACCUUGCCGCGACGAUCGGUGGUGAGAAUAGCCUCUCGAGCUCCAGUCGCGUGCUCGCGUCCCCGUGUUACGGGCUUGCGGACCCUUUCGAGCGCCUUCUACUCGUGGCGCUGCUCGCUUUGCGACCCCAGGUCAGGCGGGACUACCCGCUGAGUUUAAGCAUAUCAAUAA